rnacentral:rRNA from 1 species
GACGAACGCUGGCGGCGUGCUUAACACAUGCAAGUCGAACGGAAAGGCCCUGCUUUUGUGGGGUGCUCGAGUGGCGAACGGGUGAGUAACACGUGAGUAACCUGCCCUUGACUUUGGGAUAACUUCAGGAAACUGGGGCUAAUACCGGAUAGGAGCUCCUGCUGCAUGGUCGGGGUUGGAAAGUUUCGGCGGUUGGGGAUGGACUCGCGGCUUAUCAGCUUGUUGGUGGGGUAGUGGCUUACCAAGGCUUUGACGGGUAGCCGGCCUGAGAGGGUGACCGGCCACAUUGGGACUGAGAUACGGCCCAGACUCCUACGGGAGGCAGCAGUGGGGAAUAUUGCACGAUGGGCGGAAGCCUGAUGCAGCAACGCCGCGUGCGGGAUGACGGCCUUCGGGUUGUAAACCGCUUUCGCCUGUGACGAAGCGUGAGUGACGGUAAUGGGUAAAGAAGCACCGGCUAACUACGUG